CGGCCCAAAUUAAAUAAUAAUAAAAUUUCCAAUAGUCCAUUGACCAUUUACAUCCAGACCCAGUACAGUGGCCCAAAUGCCUAAACACUAACCCAAAAAACCCAACUAAAACCCAAACCCGCAAAGCCCAAUACCCCUAGCCCAAUCAUAACGCAGCCCAAAACAGAAAAAAGAUCAGCAGUAGGGAAACCUAGAAGGUCCGCCGCCGCAGCCGAGCUAGGCCUCCUCCUCGCGCGUGCUGCGCCUACGCACGUGUGCGCCUUCGUCCACCUCCGUACGUGCCACACCCAUGCACACUGUGCCACGUCCACCACCUCCGUACGCUAGCUGGCCUCCGUACCUGCAAAGAAGAUGAAAACAACACAGCAGAGAAAAGAAAAAUGAUUGUAUUUUUAUUUUUAUUUUUCUCUUUUUCUUUUACUUUCGGCCUAUAAAACAAAGGGCAAAGGCAUUGUAUUUUUUUUACGCAUUUAGAAUACAAAGAUCGAAAUACUAAAAGGUGAUUUGAGGAUUCUUUUUCUUGGGCAUUCGCAGAUUGUUUUUUUUUACUUCCUUUUCUCUUCAUUUUUUUUUGUACACUACUGAGUGUUUGUUAAAGGAAGAAACAUCAAUAAAAAAGGGAUAGAAGUUACCUGGUGGCGAGAUUCGGGCCUUCUCCGUCGUCAUCGGAGACCAGGCUUGGAUCGGAGAACGCUUGAGCGCCCUUAGUGCGCAGAACGGCGCAGAGAAUGUCUGUUCUCUUU
rnacentral:lncRNA from 1 species